rnacentral:rRNA from 1 species
GACGAACGCUGGCGGCGUGCUUAACACAUGCAAGUCGAACGGGAUCCGGGCUUUCGGGUUUGGUGAGAGUGGCGAACGGGUGAGUAACACGUGAGUAACCUGCCCCCUUCUUUGGGAUAACGUCGGGAAAUCGGCGCUAAUACUGGAUAUUCUUGCUGCAUCGCCUGGUGUGGUUUGGAAAGGGUUUCUGGUGGGGGAUGGGCUCGCGGCCUAUCAGCUUGUUGGUGGGGUGAUGGCCUACCAAGGCUUUGACGGGUAGCCGGCCUGAGAGGGUGUCCGGCCACACUGGGACUGAGACACGGCCCAGACUCCUACGGGAGGCAGCAGUGGGGAAUAUUGCACAAUGGGCGCAAGCCUGAUGCAGCGACGCCGCGUGAGGGAUGACGGCCUUCGGGUUGUAAACCUCUUUCAGUAUGGAACAAGGAUCCUUCUUGUGGGGGGUUUGAGGGUACGUGCAGAAGAAGCGCCGGCUAACUACGUG